UGGGGAAUUUUGCACAAUGGGGGAAACCCUGAUGCAGCGACGCCGCGUGAUUUAGAAGGCCUUCGGGUUGUAAAAAUCUUUUCUAUGGGAAGAAAAUGACAGUACCAUAGGAAUAAGGACCGGCUAAUUACGUGCCAGCAGCCGCGGUAAUACGUAAGGUCCGAGCGUUGUCCGGAAUCAUUGGGCGUAAAGGGUACGUAGGCGGGUAAGCAAGUUAGAAGUGAAAUCCUAUAGCUCAACUAUAGUAAGCUUUUAAAACUGCUCAUCUUGAGGUAUGGAAGGGAAAGUGGAAUUCCUAGUGUAGCGAUGAAAUGCGCAGAUAUUAGGAGGAAUACCGGUGGCGAAGGCGACUUUCUGGCCAUAACCUGACGCUGAGGUACGAAAGCGUGGGUAGCAAACAGG
rnacentral:rRNA from 2 species